rnacentral:tRNA from 1 species
GGGGAUGUGGCUCAGUGGUAGAGCGCCCGCUUUGCAAGCAUCUGUAUUGCGGGAGGCCCAGGUUUCGAUCACCUGCUUCUCCA